rnacentral:rRNA from 1 species
AUGGAAUUUGAGAAUGACGAUAUUGCAUAUGAGUUUUACAAUACAUACGCAGGACAUGUAGGUUUCAGUGUCAGGAAAUCUUGGCAUGAUAAAUCCUCAACGACUAAUGUUAUUCGAACAAAGAAAUUUGUAUGCUCAAAGGAAGGUCACAAGGACAAGAGCAAGGAACAAUGUCAGAGGAAGCGAGCAGAAACAAGAGUUGGUUGUCUGGCAGAGAUGACCAUCAAAAUAAGUGCUAAUGGAAAAUAUGUCGUAAGUAGCUUUGAGGAUGCUCAUAAUCAUGAACUCGUAACUCCAAGCAAAGCCGAUCUACUGCGAUUCCAAAGAAGAAUUACAGAAGGUCAGAAGGCCCAAAUUGACAUCUUGAAUGAUUCAGGUAUUAGACCAAAAUCUGUUCAUGAAGUGAUGAGUAGACAAGCAGGGGGUCGACAGUCUCUUAGCUUCGGUCAAAAAGAUUAUAAAAAUUAUCUCCGAUCAAAGCGUAUGCAAUCCAUCCAAGAAGGAGACACGGGUGCCAUUCUUCAAUACCUUCAGGACAAGCAGAUGGAAAAUCCUUCCUUUUUCUAUGCAAUACAAGUAGAUGAAGAUGAGAUGAUAACCAAUAUAUUCUGGGCAGAUGCAAGAUCAAUACUAGAUUAUCACUACUUUGGUGAUGUGGUAUGCUUUGACACAACCUUUAAGACAAAUAGUUAUGGCAGACCAUUUGCCCCUUUUGUUGGUGUCAACCAUCAUAAACAAACAGUGGUUUUUGGAGCUGCAUUACUGUAUGAUGAAUCAUCUGAGACAUUUGAAUGGUUGUUUGAAACAUUCAAAAGGGCCAUGUCAGGGAAAGAACCAAAGACAAUAUUGACCGAUCAAUGUGCUGCCAUUAUUAGUGCCAUUGGCAAGGUUUUUACUAACUCAAUACAUCGUCUAUGUGUGUGGCACAUGUAUCAGAAUGCUGCAAAACAUUUGAGUCAUGUUUUCCAAGGUUCGAAGGCAUUUAAGAAAGAUUUUGGCAAAUGUGUUUAUGAUUUUGAAGAAGUUGAUGAAUUCUUAGCAGGUUGGAAUGAUAUGCUAGUGAAAUAUAAUUUGGAAGAUAAUGAAUGGCUACAUAGAUUAUUCCAGAACAAGGAGAAGUGGGCUUUGGUUUAUGGUCGACAAACCUUUUGUGCAGAUAUGAAAUCCACACAAAGAAGCGAGAGUCUGAAUGCACUAUUGAAANNNNNNNNNNNNNNNNNNNNNNNNNNNNNNNNNNNNNNNNNNNNNNNNNNNNNNNNNNNNNNNNNNNNNNNNNNNNNNNNNNNNNNNNNNNNNNAAGUGGAAAGUGAUUUCUAUGCGAGUCAAACAUCACCAAAGGUGCCAUAUGUGCAGAUGCUGAUACAAACUUCGAAAGUAUAUACACCUGCUAUGUUUGAGAUAUUUAAAGGAGAAUUUGACAUGGUAAUGGGAUAUUGUGUGUACGAGAGUGGUCGUACUGGCUCUAUUUCUGAAUUCAAGGUUACCCAUUCAGCUAGCCAAAAUAGUCAUACUGUGAAAUUUGAUCCCAAUGGACCAAAAGUUUCAUGCUCAUGCAAAAAGUUUGAAUUUGUUGGGGUACUGUGUCGUCAUGCAUUGAAGGUGUUGGACCACAACAAUAUCAAGGAGUUGGCACCGGAAUAUAUCUUGAAAAGAUGGACAAGGCGAGCAAAAUCAGGGCCAUCAGAAGCAAUUCAAAAGUGCUCUGAUGAUGAAGAUGCAAGAGUUGUGCUAGCUAGACAGUAUGGAUCACUAUGCCGCACUUACAAUAACAUUUUGAGCAAAGCAACAGCAAACAAAGAGGCAUAUGCACUACUGCAAAGUAUGUCAAUUGAACUAAUGGAAAAGGUAUACCAAAUUUUACAUGGAAAUCAAUCAAAAGAUGAAUCACUAAAUCAUGAACAAGCAGAGAAGCAACCAGUUGAAUGCAACAUUGAGAAUGUAGUCCAAGCACAAGGAAUAAAGAGAAAAGAACCAGGAAGUAGCAACAAGAGGAUUAAAUCUGGACUGGAACUGAACAAUAAGAAUAAACGUAAUACGAAAGGUAUGGCAUUGUACAAGAAAGAGCUACAUAAAUAUCUGGUCAUGUUAUUGAAAUAG